rnacentral:rRNA from 1 species
AAUCAUUGGAAACGAUGACUAAUACCGCAUACGGUUCCUGGGAGGCAUCUUCCGGGAAAGAAAGGAUUUAUUCGGUGCAGGAUGGGCCCGCAUCUGAUUAGCUAGUUGGUGAGAUAACAGCCCACCAAGGCGACGAUCAGUAGCCGACCUGAGAGGGUGACCGGCCACAUUGGGACUGAGACACGGCCCAAACUCCUACGGGAGGCAGCAGUGGGGAAUAUUGCACAAUGGGGGGAACCCUGAUCCAGCGACGCCGCGUGAGUGAAGAAGUAUUUCGGUAUGUAAAGCUCUAUCAGCAGGGAAGAAGAAAAUGACGGUACCUGACUAAGAAGCCCCGGCUAACUACGUGCCAGCAGCCGCGGUAAUACGUAGGGGGCAAGCGUUAUCCGGAUUUACUGGGUGUAAAGGGAGCGUAGACGGUAGUGCAAGUCUGGAGUGAAAGGCGGGGGCCCAACCCCCGGACUGCUCUGGAAACUGUGCGACUAGAGUGCAGGAGAGGUAAGUGGAAUUCCUAGUGUAGCGGUGAAAUGCGUAGAUAUUAGGAGGAACACCAGUGGCGAAGGCGGCUUUCUGGACUGAAACUGACGCUGAGGCACGAAAGCGUGGGGAGCGAACAGGAUUAGAUACCCUGGUAGUCCACGCCGUAAACGAUGAGUGCU